AGCUACGGCCAUGCCCCCCCCAAACAUGCCCAACAUCGUCUGAUCUCAGAAGCUAAGUAGAGUCAGGCCUGGUUAGUACUUGGAUGGGAGACCAUCUAGGAAUAUCAGGUGCUGUAGGCA
rnacentral:rRNA from 1 species